rnacentral:rRNA from 1 species
ACGUUAGCGGCGGACGGGUGAGUAACACGUGGGUAACCUACCUAUAAGACUGGGAUAACUUCGGGAAACCGGAGCUAAUACCGGAUAAUAUUUCGAACCGCAUGGUUCGAUAGUGAAAGAUGGUUUUGCUAUCACUUAUAGAUGGACCCGCGCCGUAUUAGCUAGUUGGUAAGGUAACGGCUUACCAAGGCGACGAUACGUAGCCGACCUGAGAGGCUGAUCGGCCACACUGGAACUGAGACACGGUCCAGACUCCUACGGGAGGCAGCAGCC